UCCGAUAUGGCACAGGUGAUAUUGCUGUCACCUUUCAUAGGCAGCGCUAAGAUGCCUACACAGGUUCGAUUCCUGGUGUCGGAA